UCUGGCAGGCAUGGGCUUGGGUCCCAGGAAGGGGAAGCUCCUAUAAUGGCCUCAGCCCUUCCACCUGCGCCUUCCCUCCUGAGGCUCAGCCACGAGUGGGCUGUGGAAUUACCAUUUUUUCAGCAAAUAAAGCUCCAUUUGACUGAGCUGAACCUCAUGGCUGCCAACAUGGGUCCCAAGCCUGAGCAGGAGAAGCAAGCGUGAGUACCUUGGACCACAGAUCCAUCGCCUCCCUGUUCGUCUUCAUCACUGCUCGCCAUGGCAUUGUCAGCUCCUGAUUUGGAUAUUUAAAGACACCUUCCAAAUUGAUGACUUCUAGCUUCUCAAGCCGCUUGGGGUGGAGACCCACGUUGCUUUGUCUUUCACAGAAAUUAGCU